UCUGAAAGAAAAAUUGGGAAGUCAGAGAGGUUUGCCCUACAGGGAUAUGUCCCUUUCCCUUCUCCCAACAUUGCAGGAAAGAGGUAUCCUGAGAGAAAGCUCCUUCAGGGUCACUUGGCCAACUCCACUAGGUUCCUCUCACCUUCCAUACCCUUCUAGUCUUAGAUCCAUCAGGUACUCAGUGCCUGGACUUCCACCUUCCUUUUCCUUGACUCCUUGCCCUCAAUGCAGCCAGCCCUGUCUGAUAGCUUAGUACCCUCUCCUUAGUUUCUCCCCUUCUUACCCUUCGACAGCUGCUGCUUGUAAGAUCUAUUAACAGUGCCUGCUCCUGAGUGCCACAGGAGCCAAUGAUAGGAGACCGUGCAGAGUCCCAUUCACUGUGCUCCAACCUGUGUUGAGGGAAAAAAAGAGACAUGGCUUGGUUUAUAGCACAAGCAGCUGAUGAGGUGAAGUCUUCCCAGCCAUCCUGCUGUGUGAUGUAGCACGACAAACUUGCAGCAGAGGCUGCUACUAUAGUUCCUGUCCCUACACAAGCAGUGUGUGUGCAGGCAGAUCGGUUUUUUUCAGCAGCAGUAAACGGUGAGGAUAACUACCAGGAAUUAACUGCCUACUAUGUAUCAGAUGCUGGACUGGGUGCUGUACAUAUAUUUAAUCCUCAGGUUAGAGGUUGGUGUUACUAUCUUCGAAGUAAUGUUGUCUUGUCCAUGGUGGCACAGCCAGUAACAGGUCAAGCCAGAAUUCAAAACCCAGGUUUGUCUCUAAACCUCAUGUCUGUUUUUUGUUUAUUUUUUUUCCAAUACACCAGAGAAACUCAUUAAAUUGUUUUUUCAUUUACCAAAGGCUAAUUAGGCAAAAGCAUCCAAGAAAGAUUUUUGUGAGGUUCUUAGAAUUAAACUGAACUGCCAGCCUCUACUGCUUCUGCAUUUUUUUGCUGAUUUACUACUGGCACUGCUCUAUGUAAUGAAGAAGCUGUCUUUUUCCAUUCAAUGGUUUCUCAAAAAACAUGAACUGCAUCAAAGGGGCUGCGGUAACAUAGCACAUUUGAACAAACAUUUGCCUAUAGGUAUGCACUUUUUAAUCAUGGUGGGAAGGAUGGAACUCUCCACUCCUCCAUAUGAAGGGAUGUCCGUUAGUCUAACACUCCUGGCCUCUCAUUGCAGGUCACCGAAUUUUCUCCUGGAAAGAAAGAAUAUUUUAAUCUGAUUUGUGAGUCUGGAAGGAGAAACUGAAUUUCACCAAUCAUUCCCAAGGACACUCCAAAGAUGAGGAAGUGGAUAUGGUCCCGUAUCUGUGCUUUGGGAGGAGCAACCCAGGCUCCAAGAAAGGGAGCUACCAAAUGAUUUCUUCCAACAAAAUGAAGACACAAAACCAAGACAAGGAAGACCUGGAAUACAAGAAACAGGUGAAGGGAGAGAUCCUAGGAUGAAAACUAGCAGUGCACAGCAACUGGUUCAUGUAAGAGCGAGAAAAAAAACUCCAGAAUUUUCUUCAUAAAUGCAAAAUUGACAGGAAUAAACACCUUAAAAGGA